rnacentral:lncRNA from 1 species
GGACCAGGGACCUGUAGGCUCCAUGAACAACUGGUUUGCUUCCCAGAAGGAACCAAGCAACCCUCCAGGGAUGAUUUGGCUCCUCCUGUGGCCACUUGGAACCAAAGACUCAGAAAUGCCUACUGACAGUGUGAUAUGGUUUUACUUAUGACUGUAAAAACAACAAACAGAUGGGGAACCUCUGGGCUGCAGAUGCCAACUGGCCAAUGUCUGACCAUCUUUUGACUGAGACUAAACAUGGAUAUUCUGUCCAAUGGGCAAAGCUAGGUGCAGUGAAAAUGGCUAUACAGUCCAUCUCUUCCACCAUAUCUUGAUACAUUUUCACUGACAUGUGGACAAUUAACACCAGUCUAAGCCAUCUGGUCAGAAGAAUGGCAACUGAAUAAACUGGACUGUUUAAAGGACCCCCUGUAUGAUGACAGGGGCUAUAGUAAUAGCUUGUUACCUGGAAAGGACAAAUAUAUGUCACUCAUGUGGAUGCUAGGACUGCCCUUGAGAAGAGCAUAGGUCAUAUUUCAGAUACUCUGUAGGACUUUAGUCUGACCAAAGAACAUCCUUCACUGUCCCACUAAUGCAGCAAUGAGCACAUUGUUGUGGAUUAUGAUG